rnacentral:tRNA from 1 species
GGAGAGGUGGCAGAGCGGUCGAAUGCGGCGGUCUUGAAAACCGCUUUAUCCGCAAGGGUAACGGGGGUUCGAAUCCCUCCCUCUCCGCCA